rnacentral:rRNA from 1 species
CCUACGGGAGGCAGCAGUGAGGAAUAUUGGUCAAUGGGCUUACGCCUGAACCAGCCAAGUCGCGUGAGGGAAGACUGCCCUAUGGGUUGUAAACCUCUUUUGUCAGGGAGCAACGCCGGCUACGUGUAGCCGGACUGAGAGUACCUGAAGAAAAAGCAUCGGCUAACUCCGUGCCAGCAGCCGCGGUAAUACGGAGGAUGCGAGCGUUAUCCGGAUUUAUUGGGUUUAAAGGGUGCGUAGGCGGAAUGCCAAGUCAGCGGUAAAAUCGCGGGGCUCAACCUCGCUCCGCCGUUGAAACUGGCGGGCUAGAGAGCAGGAGAGGGCGGUGGAACUCCAUGUGUAGCGGUAAAAGGCGUAGAUAUAUGGAAGAACACCAGUGGCGAAGGCGGCCGCCUGGCCUGUUACUGACGCUGAGGCACGAAAGCGUGGGGAGCAAAUAGGAUUAGAUACCCCUGUAGUC